AAACUUGCUCUUUGUGCGGAAAUUCGAAAAUAUCCUUGUUUGUAUCAAAUAACAAACAAGGAUUAUUCGAACAAAAUCGCCAAAGAUGCUAUUUGGCAUCAAAUUAGCUCUACUGUCUCGUUAUCCUUGAAUAGAUCCGUCACCGUUCUAGAGUGCCGGAAACAUUGGGAUGCUUUGAGGGAAUCGACCAGAAUUUAUUUGGAUAAGGCAAAAAUUAAUAAGAUUGCGGAUAAAUCCGGUGCUCCAGCAGAUAUGUUGGAUCUUUAUCAGGCGGACGGAUCUCAACGUUUCGAUAUAUACCAAGAACGAUGGCCGUUGGCGGAAGCCAUGAGCUUCUUUUUGCCUUCCUGUGCGCGAAAUGCUUUUACGAUUUCUAUUGGGGACUGCAAUUCAAAGACAACUCUGAAGAAAUCCCUAGAGCUUGAAGAAGAAGUGUUAUUGGAAGAAAAUGAGAGCUUCACAGUUCCGGCGACUCCAACGAGCCGAAAUCGAAAUCGCUCUUACAAGAAUGGCAACUCCGACGAGCUCUUGGAUGAAACGUUGUGCUCAGUAGCGUCAUCGUUGUCCAAGCUUGUGGAUUCUAGGAGUUCCACUGAAGAUGGGACUCAACUGAAAUUUAAAGAAUUUCACGUUGAGUUAGAUAAAGUACUGCGUCAGAUGCCAUUCAUGCAUGGCAUGCAGUUUUGCAUGGAUAUGGUGAAACGAGCGAAUGAAACUAUAGACAAUCUAAAACACCCAUAGAAUGUGAAAAUUUAACAUUAUUAUCGUUUUUGCCUUGUGCUACACCGGUGUAGUGUAGUGAGAGAUAGGCUGAUUACACCCAAGUUAGAGUGAAGUGAGUGAAGUACCUACUACACCGGUGUAGUGCACUGUCAACAUGAAAAUGACAUAAAACAGCAAUAAACUGUGCACUGAAUUCUAUGAUUCGAAGGUUAUGAUUUUGCAACAAGUUAUCACAAAUUCAAACGACCAAGCAGGAAACAAUAUCCAAACUCACUAGUCAUCAAAGUCCUCAAGCAAACAGAAUGGUAUUGAAGAAGUCCAAUUUCAGUAUUUGAGCUAUUUAUUUAAGACGGACUGCUGGAGAUACCAUGACGAAAGGUUUGCUUAAGCGAAUAACCCGCAAAUCACAUUCUAGGCGAACUAACCUUAACAAUUGUUAAGGUUGGUAUUUAACGGACUCAUCGCGGUAGUUAAGAUAUACGCAUUCGAUAUUAAGAUAUAACGAAGCAGAUGCACUUCAUUAUAAAGUCCUAGAUUC